UACAUGGGGUGCAAACGUUGCUCGGAAUCAUUGGGCGUAAAGCGCGCGUAGGCGGUUACUUAUGUCGGAUGUGAAAGCCCUCGGCUUAACUGAGGAAGUGCAUUCGAAACUGGGUAGCUAGAGUACUAAAGAGGGUCGCGGAAUUCCCGGUGGUAGAGGUGAAAUUCGUAGAUAUCGGGAGGAACACCGGUGGCGAAGGCGGCGACCUGGGUAGAUACUGACGCUGAGGCGCGAAAGCGUGGGGAGCGAACGAGGA
rnacentral:rRNA from 1 species